rnacentral:rRNA from 1 species
CAGAGGUUACUGCUAUCGRGMKKCGRMURAKCYRYSYKAGKUKRAUGYYCKYCGUGAASWUGAKCSSACUGCUCAGUAACACGUGGACAACCUACCCUUGGGUCCGGCAUAAUCCUGGGAAACUGGGAAUAAUUCCGGAUAGGUCACCGAUGCUGGAAUGCGCGGUGGCCGAAAGCUCCGGCGCCCGAGGAUGGGUCUGCGGCCUAUCAGGGUUGUAGUGGGUGUAACGUACCUACUAGCCUACGACGGGUACGGGUUGUGAGAGCAAGAGCCCGGAGAUGGAUUCUGAGACACGAAUCCAGGCCCUACGGGGUGCAGCAGGCGCGAAAACUUUACAAUGCGGGAAACCGUGAUAAGGGGAUCUCGAGUGCCAGCAUAUAAUGUUGGCUGUCCAGAUGCCUAAAAAGCAUCUGUUAGCAAGGGCCGGGCAAGACCGGUGCCAGCCGCCGCGGUAACACCGGCGGCCCGAGUGGUAACCGCUAUUAUUGGGUCUAAAGGGUCUGUAGCCGGCCAGGUAAGUCCCUUGGGAAAUCUGGCAGCUCAACUGUCAGGCUGCUAGGGGAUACUGUUUGGCUUGGGACCGGGAGAGGUGAGAGGUACCUUGGGGGUAGGGGUGAAAUCUUGUGAUCCUCGAGGGACCACCAGUGGCGAAGGCGUCUCACCAGAACGGGUCCGACGGUAAGGGACGAAAGCUAGGGGCACGAACCGGAUUAGAUACCCGGGUAGUCCUAGCCGUAAACGAUGCUCGCUAGGUGUCAGUCACGGUGCGACCGUGAUUGGUGCCGUAGGGAAGCCGUGAAGCGAGCCACCUGGGAAGUAUGGCCGCAAGGCUGAAMYUAAAGSAAUCGUKGCKKRGSAGCACGUACCCGAACSGGUGGAGCCUGCGGUUUAAUUG